UACGUAGGGGGCAAGCGUUGUCCGGAAUCAUUGGGCGUAAAGCGCACGUAGGCGGCCCGAUAAGUCCGCUGUGAAAGUCAACGGCUCAACUGUUGAAUGCCGGUGGAUACUGUCGGGCUAGAGUCCGGAAGAGGCAAGUGGAAUCCCUGGUGUAGCGGUGGAAUGCGCAGAUAUCAGGAGGAACACCUAUAGCGAAGGCAGCUUGCUGGGACGGUACUGACGCUAAGGCGCGAAAGCGUGGGGAGCGAACAGG
rnacentral:rRNA from 1 species